UACAGAGGUCCCAAGCGUUGUUCGGAUUCACUGGGUGUAAAGGGUGCGCAGGCGGACUGGCAAGUCAGGGGUGAAAUCUUACGGCUUAACCGUGAAACUGCCUUUGAUACUGCUGGUCUUGAGUUAGGGAGAGGUUGAUGGAAUUCCAGGUGUAGCGGUGAAAUGCGUAGAUAUCUGGAAGAACACCAGUGGCGAAGGCGGUCAACUGGCCCUAUACUGACGCUCAGGCACGAAAGCGCGGGGAUCAAACAGG
rnacentral:rRNA from 1 species